rnacentral:rRNA from 1 species
GGGGAUAAGCGGCGGAAACGCCGUCUAAUACCGCGCACAACCCGAGGGGGCAUCCCCUUGGGUUCAAAGGAGAGAUCCGGUACCGGCUGGGCAUGCGGCGCAUUAGCUAGUUGGCGGGGCAACGGCCCACCAAGGCGACGAUGCGUAGGGGUUCUGGGAGGAAGGUCCCCCACACUGGAACUGAGACACGGUCCAGACUCCUACGGGAGGCAGCAGUGAGGAAUAUUGGUCAAUGGGCGCAAGCCUGAACCAGCCAAGUCGCGUGAGGGAAGACGGCCCUACGGGUUGUAAACCUCUUUUGCCGGGGAGCAAGCCUGAGCACGUGUGCCCAGGCGGAGAGUACCCGGAGAAAAAGCAUCGGCUAACUCCGUGCCAGCAGCCGCGGUAAUACGGAGGAUGCGAGCGUUAUCCGGAUUUAUUGGGUUUAAAGGGUGCGCAGGCGGGCUGUUAAGCCGGCGGUAAAAAUUCAGGGCUCAACCCUGUCGAGCCGUCGGAACUGGCAGUCUUGAGUGGGCGAGAAGUAUGCGGAAUGCGUGGUGUAGCGGUGAAAUGCAUAGAUAUCACGCAGAACGCCGAUUGCGAAGGCAGCAUACCGGCGCCCAACUGACGCUGAGGCACGAAAGCGUGGGGAUCGAACAGGAUUAGAUACCCUGGUAGUCCACGCAGUAAACG